GACGAACGCUGGCGGCGUGCUUAACACAUGCAAGUCGAACGGAAAGGCCCUGCUUUUGUGGGUUUCUCGAUUGGCGAACGGGUGAGUAACACGUGAGUAACCUGCCCUUGACUUUGGGAUAACUUCAGGGAACUGGGGCUAAUACCGGAUAGGAGCUCCUGCUGCAUGGGGGUGGUUGGAAAGUUUCGGCGGUUGGGGAUGGACUCGCGGCUUAUCAGCUUGUUUGUGGGGUAGUGGCUUACCAAGGCUUUGACGGGUAGCCUGCCUGAGAGGGUUACCGGCGACCAUGGGCCUGAGAUACGGACCAGAAUCGUACGGGAGGCAGCAGUCGGGAAUAUUGCAGAAUGGGCGGACGCCUGAUGCAGCAGCGCUGCGUGCGGGAUGACGGCCUUUGGGUUGUAAACAGAUUUCGACGGUGACGAAGAGUGAGUGACGGUAAUGGGUAAAGAAGCAACGGCUAACUACGUG
rnacentral:rRNA from 1 species